UACGUAGGGGGCAAGCGUUGUCCGGAUUUAUUGGGCGUAAAGGGCGUGUAGGCGGCCAUACAGGUCAGCUGUGAAAACUCGAGGCUCAACCUCGAGACGUCGGUUGAAGCCGUCUGGCUAGAGUCCGGAAGAGGAGAGUGGAAUUCCCGGUGUAGCGGUGAAAUGCGCAGAUAUCGGGAAGAACACCCGUGGCGAAGGCGGCUCUCUGGGACGGUACUGACGCUGAGACGCGAAAGCGUGGGGAGCGAACAGG
rnacentral:rRNA from 1 species